rnacentral:rRNA from 1 species
GUGGGGAAUCUUGGUCAAUGGGCGAAAGCCUGAACCAGCGAUGCCGCGUGAGUGAUGAAGGCCUUCGGGUUGUAAAGCUCUGUGGGGCGAGACGAAAGCCUACUUUCUAACAGGAGGUAGUUUGACGGUAUCGCCUUAGCAAGCACCGGCUAACUCUGUGCCAGCAGCCGCGGUAAGACAGAGGGUGCAAACGUUGCUCGGAAUCACUGGGCGUAAAGGGCGCGUAGGCGGGCAAGUAAGUCGGGCGUGAAAUCCCUAGGCUCAACCUAGGAACUGCACUCGAAACUGCAUGUCUUGAGUACCGGAGAGGAAAGCGGAAUACCUGGUGUAGAGGUGAAAUUCGUAGAUAUCAGGUGGAACACCAGUGGCGAAGGCGGCUUUCUGGACGGUAACUGACGCUGAGGCGCGAAAGCGUGGGGAGCAAACAGGAUUAGAAACCCCUGUAGUCC